rnacentral:rRNA from 1 species
UACGAAGGGUGCAAGCGUUACUCGGAAUUACUGGGUUUAAAGGGUGCGUAGGUGGGUAAGUAAGUCAGUGGUGAAAUCUUCGAGCUUAACUCGGAAACUGCCAUUGAUACUAUUUAUCUUGAAUACUUUGGAGGUAAGCGGAAUAUGUCAUGUAGCGGUGAAAUGCUUAGAUAUGACAUAGAACACCAAUUGCGAAGGCAGCUUACUACACAGUCAUUGACACUGAGGCACGAAAGCGUGGGGAUCAAACAGG